GCUUUAAGCGUAGCAGAAUCUUUCGCUUCAAAAGUCGGGGCCCCGUCUGCCGGAAGACCUACUCGCAAGGUUGACCUCGGAUCAGGCAGGGAUACCCGCUGAACUUAAGCAUAUCAAUAAGCGGAGGAAAAGAAACCAACAGGGAUUGCCUCAGUAACGGCGAGUGAAGCGGCAACAGCUCAAAUUUGAAAUCUGGCUCUUUCAGGGUCCGAGUUGUAAUUUGUAGAGGAUGCUUCGGCGUGGGCUCCGGUCUAAGUUCCUUGGAACAGGACGUCAUAGAGGGUGAGAAUCCCGUAUGUGAUCGGUUGCCUUUGCCAUGUGAAGCUCCUUCGACGAGUCGAGUUGUUUGGGAAUGCAGCUCUAAAUGGGAGGUAAAUUUCUUCUAAAGCUAAAUACUGGCCAGAGACCGAUAGCGCACAAGUAGAGUGAUCGAAAGAUGAAAAGCACUUUGGAAAGAGAGUCAAAAAGUACGUGAAAUUGUUGAAAGGGAAGCGCUUGCAACCAGACCUGCCUGCAGUUGCUCAUCCGGGCUUUUGCCCGGUGCACUCUUCUGCUGUCAGGCCAGCAUCGGUUCGGGCGGUCGGAUAAAGGCUUCGGGAAUGUAGCUCCUCUCGAGGAGUGUUAUAGCCCGUUGCGAAAUGCGGCCAGCCUGAACUGAGGUCCGCGCUUCGGCUAGGAUGCUGGCGUAAUGGUUGUAAGCGGCC
rnacentral:rRNA from 1 species